rfam:Desulfacinum hydrothermale DSM 13146 genome assembly, contig: EJ40DRAFT_scaffold00026.26
AUGCCCCUGCGGUGUUCGUGAUUGGUAGAGCGUUCCUGAGCCAACACAAACAAACGGGGAGCUCCCUCUUGUUCUGGUGUGCAGCUCGGUUCGUCCGAACUGCCUAAAGGAACAACGGAGCGCCCACCUUGCUAGAUCGGUUCAAGACCGACUGCCAACACGGCAUCCUGCGGGGGCACC